AUUGAACGCUGGCGGCAUGCCUUACACAUGCAAGUCGAACGGCAGCACGGGUGCUUGCACCUGGUGGCGAGUGGCGAACGGGUGAGUAAUACAUCGGAACGUACCUUAUCGUGGGGGAUAACGCAGCGAAAGUUGCGCUAAUACCGCAUACGCCCUGAGGGGGAAAGCGGGGGACCGUAAGGCCUCGCGCGAUUAGAGCGGCCGAUGGCUGAUUAGCUAGUUGGUGAGGUAAAGACCCACCAAGGCAACGAUCAGUAGCAGGUCUGAGAGGAUGAGCUGCCACACUGGAACUGAGAAACGGUCCAGACUCCUACGGGAGGCAGCAGUGGGGAAUUUUGGACAAUGGGGGCAACCCUGAUCCAGCAAUGCCGCGUGAGUGAAGAAGGCCUUCGGGUUGUAAAGCUCUUUUGUCAGUGAAGAAAACUUUAAUAAUAACACUAUUAAAGCAUGACGGUAACUGAAGAAUAAGGACCGGCUAACUACGUGCCAGCCGCCGCAGUAA
rnacentral:rRNA from 1 species